AUUGAACGCUGGCGGCAUGCCUUACACAUGCAAGUCGAGCGGCAGCGCGGGGACAACCCUGGCGGCGAGCGGCGAACGGGUGAGUAAUACAUCGGAACGUGUCCUUUCGUGGGGGAUAACCAGUCGAAAGACUGGCUAAUACCGCAUGAGAUCUCACGAUGAAAGCGAGGGACCGCAAGGCCUCGCGCGAUUGGAGCGGCCGAUGUCGGAUUAGCUAGUUGGCGGGGUAAUGGCCCACCAAGGCGACGAUCCGGAGCUGGUUUGAGAGAACGACCAGCCACACUGGGACUGAGACACGGCCCAGACUCCUACGGGAGGCAGCAGUGGUGAAUUUUGGACAAUUGGCGCAAGCCUGAUCCAGCCAUUCCGCGUGUGUGAAGAAGGCCUUCGGGUUGUAAAGCACUUUCGGCCGGAACGAAAUCGCGCGGGUUAACAGCCCGCGUGGAUGACGGUACCGGAAGAAGAAGCACCGGCUAACUACGUGCCAGCCGCCGCGGUAAUAC
rnacentral:rRNA from 1 species